CCCGCACAAGCGGUGGAGCAUGUGGUUUAAUUCGAUGCAACGCGAAGAACCUUACCUGGUCUUGACAUCCACAGAACUUGGCAGAGAUGCCUUGGUGCCUUCGGGAACUGUGAGACAGGUGCUGCAUGGCUGUCGUCAGCUCGUGUUGUGAAAUGUUGGGUUAAGUCCCGCAACGAGCGCAACCCUUAUCCUUUGUUGCCAGCGGUUCGGCCGGGAACUCAAAGGAGACUGCCAGUGAUAAACUGGAGGAAGGUGGGGAUGACGUCAAGUCAUCAUGGCCCUUACGACCAGGGCUACACACGUGCUACAAUGGCAUAUACAAAGAGAAGCGACCUCGCGAGAGCAAGCGGACCUCAUAAAGUAUGUCGUAGUCCGGAUUGGAGUCUGCAACUCGACUCCAUGAAGUCGGAAUCGCUAGUAAUCGUGGAUCAGAAUGCCACGGUGAAUACGUUCCCGGGCCUUGUACACACCGCCCGUCACACCAUGGGAGUGGGUUGC
rnacentral:rRNA from 1 species